rnacentral:rRNA from 1 species
GAUGAACGCUGGCGGCGUGCCUAAUACAUGCAAGUAGAACGCUGAAGCUUGGUGCUUGCACCGAGCGGAUGAGUUGCGAACGGGUGAGUAACGCGUAGGUAACCUGCCUCUUAGCGGGGGAUAACUAUUGGAAACGAUAGCUAAUACCGCAUAAAAGUCGAUAUCGCAUGAUAUUGAUUUGAAAGGUGCAAAUGCAUCACUAAGAGAUGGACCUGCGUUGUAUUAGCUAGUUGGUGAGGUAACGGCUCACCAAGGCGACGAUACAUAGCCGACCUGCGAGGGUGAUCGGCCACACUGGGACUGAGACACGGCCCAGACUCCUACGGGAGGCAGCAGUAGGGAAUCUUCGGCAAUGGGGGCAACCCUGACCGAGCAACGCCGCGUGAGUGAAGAAGGUUUUCGGAUCGUAAAGCUCUGUUGUAAGAGAAGAACGAGUGUGAGAGUGGAAAGUUCACACUGUGACGGUAACUUACCAGAAAGGGACGGCUAACUACGUG